GCACCAGUGGUCUAGCUAGUGGUAGAAUAGUACCCCUGCCGCGGUACGGACCCCGGGUCCAAUUCCCGGCUGGUGCA